UACAGAGGUCUCAAGCGUUGUUCGGAAUCACUGGGCGUAAAGGGUGCGUAGGCCGCGCGGUAAGUCAGAGGUGAAAUCCCGGAGCUCAACUUCGGAACUGCCUCCGAUACUGCCGUGCUUGAGGACUGGAGAGGAGAUUGGAAUUCACAGUGGAGCAGUGAAAUGCGUAGAUAUUGUGAGGAACACUAGUGGCGAAGGCGAAUCUCUGGACAGUUCCUGACGCUGAGGCACGAAGGCCAGGGGAGCAAACGGG
rnacentral:rRNA from 1 species